rnacentral:lncRNA from 1 species
AAUGAGCCUUGGCUUUCAAAGCUGUCCGCAGAUUCUUCAUCUCCUGUCAGACCCAAGGCAGCAAAAGCGAGGGGGAAAAUGCAGUGGAGUUCUAUAGAAAAUGGACUCGGGUGUUUAGCAACAAAAUGCCAUAAUUCUUGCAUCCAGCAGCAGCUAUUUUGGGGAGCAGCUGUGGUCGUUAUAUAAACAGAGUUUCAGCCCAAAGCUUAGGCUUUUUAUCCAGCUUCAAGCAGAAAAUACGGGGAGAGUCGAGCAGUCUGGGGUUUUAAGUUCCCUCCCUUCGUGUGUUUUUUCGGCCAAAGGACAAAAAUAGUUUUCCUCAACUGUAAAUGAACUGCUAAACCCCACCUCAGCCCUGUUCACUGGAGACUUUGUUCACUGUUCUCUGGAUGGCCUAUUCCGGAAUCUCAUGUUCUUAUCAAGCAAGAAUGAAGUGAAUGUUAACGUCUUCCGUUUGACUCCUCUACUUGGUGUCUAAGACAGUGUCUUUCCAGAAGACCAGCUCCCUGUACCCGAAGAUGAGACACCCAUGUCCUUUCCCUCGGUCACAGGUAGCACCUUGGAUGUCACUCAUGUCUCUCGGGAACCUCACUUUUGAGUGUUAAUGAGCCCCUAAGUGCUGUUUAGGAAACAGCGGUUUUCCACCAUUCUCUCGCCCAUGUUCCUCUCGGAUACUUUGCUGUAAAACGAAGUGAUUCUAUCUUCAGACGCACGUUUGGUCGCCUCUAGAAAUAGGUCCAAGAAAUGGGAUGGAUGACUGGGUUGGCAUGAAAUGCCUGACUGUGUUAGCAACACUCAAAACUGUCUGUUUUCCAUUUGUUGGUUUGAAUCAUAAAAUUGUCAAGUG